GGACACUGCAGUAGGCGGGAAUAUGAUAGGGAGCUUGAAGUGAAGAUUGUAUCAAUAUGUGGACGUAAAUGAGGUGUUGGCAGUGAGUCUAUGCGCUGCCCUCGGUGAGCUGGCUGGUCCUUCACUGCUGUUUGCUGUUCAUACGUUCACAGCAGGGUUUCUUGGUUAGGAGGCUUCUCAGCACCCCGGGAGUUGGGGACAAAUCGGGAUAUUUCCCGGGACCUCAGGGAUUUCUCGCAUCAGUACACAAGCUAACGUGAUGAGUGAGGCUAGUACUGGAACGGUACAGGCAAGGACUCUAUGUGCUGCGAGGACCUUCCACUCAAUGCUGAAUUUUUGCUGUCGCAGCGACGGUGGCGCCUCCAGCGGCCAGAGGGAAGCAUUACCCCCAAUCGUGAUGGACAGGUGUAGUGGUGUGCUGUGGUGGUGGUGGUGCAGCACGUGUGCCAGUCACCACGCAACACAGGGGGAGGGUUCUCACAGACGGCUCCAGACCCAAGGAAUCCUCACGGCUCCAAAGUUCUUUAAUCUCACCAACUAUUUUCACGCCAUGACUAACACUCCACAGUAUUUAAUUUUAUCUUAUUAUCUUUGUGAAUGUGAAUAUCCACAUUAAAAUCGAUAGCAGUAAUUCCUUUUGAACCUUUGGUGCGGCACAGACACUAGUAGGGAAAUACUGUGUUCAAAUAUAUCUUCUUUACUUAUUGCUUUGUUGGGAUUCCCAUGACCAAGUGGAUAGAAGGACAAUCUUGGGAACAUGAGUGUUUGGUCGCCAGCGUUGAAAUCCCUAUUGUAACUUUAUAUAAAAAAAAAUACAUGUUAGAAAAAUGUCCACAUUAUAAUAAACAAUAUUUCCUCUUUAAUAUUUAUUAACUAGAAGAUAAAAUGCGUAAACAGACUAACUUUGCACUAUAAAUCAGAUGGGUCCUCGUGGCCCAGUGGGUAGAGGGAUGAACUUUAAGAUUAGCGUGAGGGAAGCAUGGGCUCGAACCCAACUCGGAACUUGCAAAAAAAUUCAAAGAGCAUCCACUCCAUAACUAUGUGUGCCUAUAAAACCCAGUAUGGGGAUGGAGCCCCCAGGGGAGCUUCUCUCCCCCACCCCCUGUCCCAUCCUGGAAACUACAAGGACCACCAGACUGACUCAUUCAGACAGGAUAGGAUAUGCUAGAAUAGGUUAGGAUAGGAUUAGAUAGGAGCGAGUUAGUUUGGUGAACCAUCUAGUGACCAGAGUAUGGAUGAGGACAGAGUACGGAUGAGGAAGCAACAAAAGAAGAAGAAGGAUCACCACCGCCAACAGCAGAGGAAGAAGAAGGACCACCAGCAGCAGAGGAAGAAGAAGGACCAUCAACACCAGAGGAAGAAGAAGCACCAGCAGAGGAAGAAGAAGCACCACCACCAGCAGCAGAAGAAGAAGCCAGCAGCAGAGGAAGAAGAAGGACCACCAGCAGCAGAGAAAGAAGGACCACCAGCAGCAGAAGAAGCCAGCAGCAGAGGAAGAAGGAACACUAUCAGCAGCAGCAGAAGAAGCCAGCAGCAGAGGAAGAAGGACCACCACCAGAGGAAGAAGGACCACCACCAGAAGAAGAAGGACCACCACCAGAGUAAGAAGAAGGACCAGCAACAGAAGAAGAAGAACCAGCAGCAGCAACAGAAGAAGAACCUCACCACCAGCAGAGGAAGAAGAAAACCACCACCAGCAGAGGAAGAAGAAGGACCACCACCAGUAGAAGAAGAAUUACCACCACCAGCACCACUCCCACCAGCAGAGGAACAAGAAUUAGGGCCACCACCACCAGCAGCAAGAGAAUAAGAAGGACUACCACCAGCAGAGGAAGAAGAAGUAGGGCCACCACCACCAGCAGCAGAGGAAGAAGAAGGACCACCACCAGCAACAACAGCAGAGAAGAAGGACCACCAUCACCAGCAGAGGAAGAAGGAACACCAUCACCACCACCACCAGAAAGAACCAGCAGAAGAGAAUGAGGAAGGACCACCACCACCGGCAACAGCAGAGGAAGAAGGACCAACACCAGCAGAGGAAGAAGAAGGCAGAAGCAGAGGAAGAAGGACCACCACCAGCAGAGGAAGAAGAAGAUGCACCAAAACAAUAAUAAAUAAGAGGAAGAAGAAGCACCACGACCAUCAGAGGAAGAACAACUAACAACAACAACAACAACA